GUAGUGCUCCCUCGUCCCAAAAUUCUUGUCUUAAAUUUGUUUGAAAAUUGAUGUAUGUAAAUACUAAAAAUGACUAGAUACAUUCAUAUGUAGACAAAUUUAAUACAAUGAUUUUGAGACGGAGGGAGUACUAC
rfam:Hordeum vulgare subsp. vulgare, WGS project CAJW01000000 data, contig: morex_contig_153543